AUGGCAUGUCCCAAGCCAUUCCACUUGCUGCUUCUGCUCCUGCAACUCCAGCUCAUCGCCGUGAACUUGCUUCACCGUCCGGAGGCUGCGUUCACUGAUCACACCCCGGCGUCGCCGGAGUGUCUGCCGGACCAGGCGUCAGCGCUGCUCCGGCUGAAACGGUCCUUCUCCGCCACAAAUCACUCCACCAUCGCCUUCCGUUCAUGGAAGGCCGGCACGGACUGCUUCCGCUGGGAAGGCGUCCGAUGUCAUGGCUCCACCGGCUGCGUCUCCUCGCUUGACUUGGGUGAUCGCGGCUUGGAGAGUCCCAACCUCGAUCUCUCGUUGUUCGAGCUAACCUCGCUCAGGUAUCUCAACCUGGCCGGAAACGACUUUCGUAUGUCCGAGAUACCAUCCAUCGGGUUUGAGCGGCUCACCAAGCUCACCCACCUCAACCUCUCAGCCACCAACUUCUCAGGCCAGGUGCCACGCAGCAUAGGCCGCCUCACCAACCUCGUCUCCCUCGACCUUUCCUUCCGCUUCGAACCAUCAAUUGGGCCUUUCCACCUCUUUGCUGAAUACUCUUCUUUGAGUGUUCUUCAACUCGGUUAUAAUGACCUUCAUGGAUGGGUCCCUCCGUCUAUCUUUCAACACAAGAGAUUGGUGACUAUUGAUCUUCAGCAAAUUCCUGGCCUAUCUGGUACUCUACCCAAUUUCUCAGCUGAUAGUAAUAUUGAGAAUUUGCUCAUCGGCAACACCAAUUUCUCUGGUACAAUUCCAAGUUCCAUCAGUAAUCUCAAAUCCUUGAAGAAGUUAGGCCUUGGCGCACAGGGUUUUGCUGGUGAUCUUCCCUCAUCAAUCAGUGAGCUCAAAUUCUUGAGUUCAUUGCAGGUCUCUGGCUUAGAAGUAGUAGGAUCUAUGCCACCAUGGAUCACAAACUUAACUUCCUUGGAGGCUCUUGAGUUCUCCCUUUGUGGCUUGCAUGGACCAGUACCUUCUUCCAUAUGUGAGUUGUCAAAACUGAGAAUAUUGUCAGUUUAUAGUUGUAACUUUUCAGGGAAAAUACCUCCAUGUAUUUUUAACUUAACUCAACUAGACACCCUAUUACUUCAUUCGAAUAAUUUUAGUGGCGAAGUGGAACUUAACUCGUUGUGGAAAUUACCAAACCUAUCUAACUUAAAGCUCUCAAAUAACAAACUAAAUGUAAUAGAUGGAGAAGAUAUUACUUCUUCCAUGUCUUUCCCAAACAUAAAGUUCUUGGAGCUAGCAUCUUGCAACAUAAGUAAAUUCCCCAAUGUAUUGAAGCAUUUACCUGGGAUUUAUGUGAUUGACCUUUCAAACAACCAAAUUCAAGGGCUCGUGCCACAGUGGGCUUGGGAGACAUGGAGCAAUUCACACCUUUUCUACCUAAACUUAUCCCACAAUAUAUUUACUAGUGUUGGCUAUGACAGCUUUCUCCCUUUGGGCCCAGUAGACCUGUUGGAUCUCAGCUUCAACAUGUUCAAGGGGCCUAUACCCAUACCAAGAUCCUCUGGCAGUGUGCUAGAUUUCUCAUGCAACCAUUUUUCAUCCAUGCCACAUAAUAUUUCUACUCAGCUUGAAAAAACUACAAUUUUCAAGGCAUCAGGAAACCAACUCUCUCGGGAUAUUUUACCGUAUUUUUGUGGUACAAAGAUACAAUUUCUUGAUCUAUCUAACAAUAUCCUCCAUGGCACAAUACCCUCAUGUCUAAUGAAGGAUGGAAAUGCAUUGAAGGUUCUAAAUCUGAAACAAAAUCAACUUCAAGGAGAGAUGCCUCAUGAUGUCAACAACAAUUGCAUGCUUGAGGUGCUAGACUUCAGUGGAAAUUGGAUCCAAGGGCAAUUGCCUAGAUCUCUAUCUUCUUGCAAGAAGUUGGAGGUUCUGGAUGUGGGAAAUAAUCGGAUCAACGAUUCUUUUCCAUGUUGGAUGAGUGGACUUCCUGGUCUUCAAGUACUUGUCCUGAAUUCUAACGAAUUCUUUGGACAAGUGGCACCAUCUGUUGCUAAUAAUAAAAACAAUUGUCAAUUUCCAAGACUGCGAAUUCUGGAUCUCGCCUCCAACAACUUCUCUGGUACAUUGACAGACGGCUGGCUUAUGAAUCUAAAGUCCAUGAUGGUCGAUACCUCUAACGGGAUAUCAGCGAUGAAAUACACAUUUGAACUACAAAGGCUCCAACAAGAAUAUCAAGUCGCCACUAUACUCACUUACAAAGGGUAUUCCAUCACACUUCCAAAGAUCGCAAGGACCCUUGUACACAUUGAUGUGUCAAACAAUGCAUUCCAUGGUAGCAUCCCCCAAGCUAUCGGGGAUCUUGUUUUGCUCAACAUUCUCAACAUGUCACACAACUCCUUGACUGAAGGAAUUCCGUCCCAGCUUGGUCGUUUGAAGAAACUAGAGUCUUUGGAUUUAUCCUCGAACGAGCUUACGGGAGUAAUUCCACAAGAGUUAGCAUCUUUGGACUUCCUUGGGACACUAAACUUCUCCAACAAUAUGCUGGAGGGAAGAAUACCAGGAUCACCUCAUUUUCAGUCAUUUUCCAACAGCUCAUUUCUCAGGAACGAUGGGUUGUGCGGACCUCCAUUAUCCAAAGAAUGCAGCAAUGAUACAAGGCCAUAUACCACGGUUCAUCCGUCGAAGGAAAACCCUACAGACAUGGUGUUAUUUCUCUUUUCUGGAUUGGGAUUCGGUGUUGGGUUUGCAGUUGUAAUCAUAGGGACAUGGGUUCUCCCUAUUAGAAAGAAAAGUUGA
rnacentral:rRNA from 1 species